UAAAAGAUAGACUAUAAAAGUCAACGAAAUGAUACUUCGAGAAUGAGAUACUAUAUUUCUCUCUUUUUA
rnacentral:tRNA from 1 species